AUUGAACGCUGGCGGCAUGCCUUACACAUGCAAGUCGAACGGCAGCACGGGUGCUUGCACCUGGUGGCGAGUGGCGAACGGGUGAGUAAUACAUCGGAACGUACCUUAUCGUGGGGGAUAACGCAGCGAAAGUUGCGCUAAUACCGCAUACGCCCUGAGGGGGAAAGCGGGGGACCGUAAGGCCUCGCGCGAUUAGAGCGGCCGAUGUCUGAUUAGCUUGUUGGUGAGGUAAAAGCUCACCAAGGUGAUGAUCAGUAGCUGGUCUGAGAGGACGAUCAGCCACACUGGGACUGCGACACGGCCCAGACUCCUACGGGAGGCAGCAGUGGGGAAUUUUGGACAAUGGGGGCAACCCUGGUCCAGCAAUGCCGCGUGAGUGAAGAAGGCCUUCGGGUUGUAAAGCUCUUUUGUCAGGGAAGAAACACCGGCUCUAACACAGUCCGGGAAUGACGGUACCUGAAGAAUAAGCACCGGCUAACUACGUGCCAGCCGCCGCCGUAA
rnacentral:rRNA from 1 species